rnacentral:rRNA from 1 species
UACGGGGGGAGCAAGCGCUGUUCGGAUUUACUGGGCGUAAAGGGCGCGUAGGCGGUCGUGACAAGUCACUUGUGAAAUCUCCGGGCUUAACUCGGAACGGUCAAGUGAUACUGUCGGACUAGAGUACAGAAGGGGCAACUGGAAUUCUCGGUGUAGCGGUGAAAUGCGUAGAUAUCGAGAGGAACACCUGCGGCGAAGGCGGGUUGCUGGGCUGAUACUGACGCUGAGGCGCGAAAGCCAGGGGAGCGAACGGG